CCUACGGGUGGCAGCAGUGAGGAAUAUUGGUCAAUGGCCGAGAGUCUGAACCAGCCAAGUAGCGUGAAGGAUGACUGCCCUAUGGGUUGUAAACUUCUUUUGUCAAGGAAUAAAACGAGGCACGUGUGCCUUUUUGCGUGUACUUUAUGAAAAAGGAUCGGCUAACUCCGUGCCAGCAGCCGCGGUAAUACGGAGGAUGCGAGCGUUAUCCGGAUUUAUUGGGUUUAAAGGGAGCGUAGAUGGGUUGUUAAGUCAGUUGUGAAAGUUUGCGGCUCAACCGUAAAAUUGCAAUUGAUACUGGCAGUCUUGAGUACAGUUGAGGUAGGCGGAAUGCGUGGUGUAGCGGUGAAAUGCUUAGAUAUCACGAAGAACCCCGAUUGCGAAGGCAGCAUACUAACCUGUGACUGACAUUGAUGCUCGAAAGUGUGGGUAUCGAACAGGAUUAGAUACCCCUGUAGUC
rnacentral:rRNA from 1 species